UACGAAGGGUGCAAGCGUUAAUCGGAAUUACUGGGCGUAAAGGGUGCGUAGGCGGUUGUUUAAGUCUGCCGUGAAAUCCCCGGGCUCAACCUGGGAAUGGCGGUGGAUACUGGGCAGCUAGAGUGUGUCAGAGGAUGGUGGAAUUCCUGGUGUAGCGGUGAAAUGCGCAGAUAUCAGGAGGAACACCAGUGGCGAAGGCGGUGCUCUGGGCUGGAACUGACACUGAGGAGCGAAAGCGUGGGUAGCAAACAGG
rnacentral:rRNA from 1 species